rnacentral:misc_RNA from 1 species
CUCUCUUUAUCAUGGUCAACAUCAAACACUGUAUCAUAAAGUCCUGUCCGUUGAAAUCUAAGGUUCGCCAAAUUGCAUGCAUGAUGAGAUGGAUUCCUUUCUAAUGUGUUAGGCGAGUGAUGAUCCCUUCUAAAGGGAUAUAAGCUUUCUUUAAACCAAGCCUCUGCUACAAAGCCUCCUUGGCUGCUCUCAACAUUCUCAGAUGUGUAGAGAAC